CAUCUUCUCUCUCAGUGGGAUAUAAGCUUGGUGAGAGCAGGAAGCAGGUGUAUUGUGGUCGCCACCGAACCCUGGUGCCUGGAACAGUGGUCACCCCAGAGUAGGAGGGUGCCAAUAACUAUUUUUUGAGUGAGUGAAUGAAUAUAAUUCCCUGCCUCUGGAGGUAUCCUAGAAAAAGGUAGACAACAGAUGCUAGAUGGUGCCCUGGGUACUGAGUUAUCCCUGCCCCCACUCCAAUGGAGGCGUCCCACAGAGGGUCACCCUGGCACCCUGUGCCCCAAGCUGUGAGGUUUUGUGGGUUUGUGGUUCACUUGGGCAGCAUCCCUGAUGGAGUCAGGGCAGACUGCGAGGAUUUGGCAUUGGGUCGGCUGGAUCUGUGGGAGAUCCCCAAGGGUGCAGAAGCCGAGCAGCAGUGAGACCCAGCAGGGGCUGCCCUGCUUCCAGAAACAGAGAUGCCACCCAACAGCAGGGUGAGCUCCGAGUGUCCCGGGACUCAAGGCUCUCCAGGGAACAGCCAGGUGGUUUCAUUGAUGCGGACCAGGGCUCAUUGACCUUCUAGUGCCUGCCUGACACACAGUAGGUGUGUUCAUUCAGCCAACAGACAUGUAUUGAGCUCUACUGUGUGUGAAGCACUGUUCUCUCCAGAUGCUGGACACAGAGCAGUGAGCUGAUGAAUUCUCUGCCCUUGUGGGGUUUACAUUCUAGUGAGGACAGAAGAUGAAGGACAAAUAAAUACACAGUGAAAUAAUGUGAGGCAGAGAUGAAAGCUGUUCAAACGCAAGGGUGAGGGUAAUAGAGGGGUGUUAUCUUGGAGUGGUGGUCAGCGCAGCGUUUGAGCAGGCCACGAAAAGAGCAGAGAAAACAUUCCCCGCAGAGGGAAUGGCAGGUGCUCAGCCCUGAUGUGGGAACAGCCUUGGCCCGCAGUAGGACGAGGGGAGUGGGUGAUGGGGAGACCGGGGAGGAGCCAGCAGGCACGGGCUGGGGUGGAAGCGGCUGAGGCCAGCCUAAGGACUUCAUAUUUUGUCCCAAGCCGGGUGGGCGUUGUGGUAUGCCCGUGUUCCUAGCCAGCUUUCCAGAGCUAGUUGUGUCAUCUCUUUCCGACUCCACGCUCAGUGAUGUCAUGUUGAUAGCUUGAAAUUGCCAAAGCGGGAGUGUUUAUCCCCCAGAUAUGGGCAAAUGCAGCGAAUGACAUCUGCACCCCUAACCAGUUCUCAACAUUUACGCUACGGGGAAGUUUUUGACUUGGGGAGUGUCAUGAUCUGACUUAACAUUUUCAAAUGUAAGAGAAUGAAGAGAAGGAGCAUGGACUUCUACUGAAGGCAAGAACACAAAUGAGAUGAAUGAGCAGGGGCCGUCUCCUCCAGGCUGGGGACUGAGACAACCAGAGGACAUAGGAAAGGGCUGCGAUCUCCAGGUUGGUCUGCAUCUGCACUAAGAGGCCUGACGGAGGGAUGACUGAGAGGGGUCCAAGGCCCUGAUCAUCUCACUAGAUUUCUGUGAGGAAGGGGGUUGCAGAAGUACAGAAUGUGCCUCGAGGCCCUCUGAGAGGCUGUCUGAGGAGGGCAGGCUGAAAGCACCUCAAGAGGGCAGUUCUGGGUGCACCCGAGCAUCCCCCAACUUUCAUGCAUCACCUUGGCAUCAUGCCGAGUGCAGACCCUGGUGCAGCAGGCCUGGGCAGGGGAUCCGAGUGGUUCGUGUUUUAAGAACACAGUUGCAUUUCCACUGAGAAGUAUCCAAGCCUGAUGCAUUGGCCUCGAGGAUGCAGAAAACACGAGGGGCGAGGAGUUGCCAGCACGGCGCCGCCGACAGGUCGGUGGACUACAGACCUACAGCAUUUGGGAACCAAAAUCUGAAUCCCAAAUGGUGCCCAAAUGGGCUGAGGCCCACAGCCAGACAUUGGCCCGGAGCCCUGCCUGAUACCGCUGAGCGUAAGACGGGUGUGGCCAGAGGAGACCAGGGCAAACCAGCCCCAUCCCUGGCAAAGGAGAGGCCGCCCAUCACGGCAGGCCGGCCAUGUUGCCUUUCUGUAGACCACCAUGGGCUACCCUCUGAAUAUCAGGCCUGGGGUUCUUUUGGUCUAUAUUGGGCACAAUUGUUUACUGUGCUCAAGGAGCCUGCUGCUGUGACAGUUGGGGUGUGUCUCCCAGAGCGCUCAGAAGCUAGGGUGCCAAGAGUCCCACAAAUCCUCCUGAGAAAUGCUUGGUUAGGAGAAUGCUGGGUUCCGUGCCCAGAGGGAUCUGCUUCAACCUGCCAGAGGGUCCUGGGAAUCUCGAACGAGAGACUGAAGCCCACCGUCUGCCCACAUUAGAUGGACCAUGGUUUCCAGAGCAUAUUCUGGGAUAGGUAUUCCAAGGAACCCACCUUGGGGACCCAGUCACUGAAAGGCCGUCGUAACUAAAAGGUCUCUCUGUUCCUCAGCUGGGUUCCAACUGCUGCAUAACAAAUCACACCCAAUAAGAUUCUAUUAUCUCAGAAGUUUCUGUGGGUAAGGGAUUUAGAAGUGGGUUAGCUAUGGUUCUGGCUUGAGGCCUCUUUUGAGUUGCAGUCAAUAUUGGCUGGGGCUGCAGUCAUCUGACAGCCUGACUGGGGCUGGAGGGUGGACUUCUGAGAUGGGUGCAUUCACAGGGCCAUUUGGGAGAAAGCCUCAGUCCCUCUGCAGGGCCGCUUGAGUGUCCUCACAACAAGGUGGCUGGCUUCCCGCUAGAGUGCUCAAGAGGACCAAGACCAGAGCCACAUGCCUUUUAUGACCUUGCCUUGGGUGGUACAUGCAGGCAUUUCCACAGGCCUCAUUGGUCCCACAGGGCAGCCCUGUCCAUUGUGGGGCGGGGCCUACAGAGAUGGGAAUCCCAGGAGGUCGGAACCAUCUGGAGACCAUCUUGCAGACUGACAAACUGUAACUGUUGCUUCAGCACAAGAAGGUCAGACAACUUGCCUCAGUCACACAGUUGCUUUCUAAUCACUUAGUGCCAGUCAGUAACUGUGAGACGUGAGCCUGCUAACCUGCAAUGUGAAGGGCGGAGGAAGAGAACGCAAUCUUCAGGGCCAGCAAACAACAGCGAUCAGAAUAAUCCUGCCCCAUUUUUUGAGCGUUCACUCUGUACCAGGUGGCUUGUAGGCAUCACGGCGCUGUGCAAUCCUUGUCCCCAAGCAGUAAGUUCCACUAGUAUUUCCAAGUCAGGCCACUUAUUUCUAUGAAAUGCAUAAAAUGAGAUUUUUUUGUAAUGGCGGCUCCAGCAAUACAGGCAGUUCUGCCUUCUGGAAGCUGAGAGACAAAAUCGGUGACCUGGGUGAACUCACGUAGAGAAGAUGGGCGUAAGAGUAAACUUAGGUUGGAUCGAUGCCAAAGUUAAACAAAUAAUAAAUAGUGUGAUAAAAUAUUUAUUUCAUGUACAGUAACCAGAUGAGAAGCCAGGGUGAGCCAGGGGAAUCUUUGCACUACCAGAGCCUCCUUCCUGUGAGAAGUAGUCACACCUCCAGGUUGGGAGGCCGUAAGGUGUAGUGGUGAGAAGCGUGCACCUGGGUGCCUGAGACCUGCAUCCCAGGCCUGCCCGUGUCUGUUAUUAGCUGUGUGACCCAGGCAAGUGACUUCACAGUCUUCAAUUUCCCAUCUGUAAAAUGGGGUGAUAAUGGCGAAGUCCUCUGGUUGUGAUGAGGAUUCAGAGAUGAUCCCUGGUCCAGUGUAAGGGCUCUGGAAUGUGUUACCAUGGCCAGGCUGACGGAGGGUCACCGAGGUGGGAGUACCCCAGGCACAAAGCCCUUAUAGAAGGGCUGUUGCCUGGAAAGAGCCUUGCUCUGUGACCAGUAAUGGACGUGGAGCCGUGAAACACACAUUAGCUCCUGCUCAGACCUCCUGCAGGAGUGACCCCGGGGGACUAGAAGGAACCCAGCCCCUCCUGCCUGAGGCGUGUGUGGGCAUGGAGCCAGGCCAGCCCCUUCCUGUCCUGUCCGGGCACGAUUUCAACAGAGAGAGCGUCCUGGGCAUGUUUUCCCCUGGGAAGCCUCAACCUGCUGAGCAGGACUUGGGGAGCUCUGGCUAAAUGUGCUCUCCCAACAAACAGACCGGGCCUAGAGACGAUUCUCAGAGAACAGAAUUGCAGGCACUGGUUCCGGCUUCCACGGCCGUGGCCUGGGCUGGAGGAGGGUGUUUGAGGGGCAGGCGCUAAGGUGGGUCUCAGGUCAGGCUGGCCUGGGGACACUUGGCCCCACCCAUGAGGACUGUGUGACUCUGAGCAAGUGCCUCCACAUCCCUGGGCCUUGGUUUCCCCAUCCCUAGAAUCCCAGCCUGGCUUGCCUUCCACCUGUGCUGGCCAGGGGGACACAGAGGGAGCCCAUGCGAAUGUGCCCACAUGGGUGUGCUUGGAGCAGGGCCAAAGACACCCUCUCCUCUCCAGCCAGGGCAGCUCAGUUUCAUCUCUGGGAUGUCGGUGUUCUGAGUAAUACUUCAUUAAACAGAAGAAGAAGAAGAAAGUAAAGGAAACGUGUCCACAGCGAAAACAUCAUGGCCUAGCCUUUCCCAGCAGCUGGCUUUGUCCCCUGGCUCAUUCCUUCGUGCUCCCAGGGAGCAGAGGAGUGGACUCUCUCAAGAAGGUUUAGUGACUGCCCACAGCCAAAUGGUUCUUGGCUUUCUAGACUUGAAUCCCUGUUCCUUUUGGCCUCUGAGUUCCCAUGAGAGCAGAAGAAAGAAAGGGGGUUUUUGGUUGAGGGGAUCCUCAGAGGUUUUGGGGUGUCCUCUGUGGGUUCCAAAGCCAUAGGGAGGCUGGGGGCAUCCUGGCCCCCUGUGCUUGGAGUAUCCCCAAAGUGGCCAGCCACGUUCUUCCACACCUGCUUCCAGUGGACGCCUGGGCCAGCCAUUGCUGCCUCUGGGCCUCAGUUUCUUCAUCUGUGAAGGGAGGAGGCUGUGUGCCUCUCAGCCCCUCCCGACUCCAGCACUCUAACUGUGGCAUUUAUGAGCUCUAGCUGUGUCCAGAGCCGUGUCUGGGUGUGGGAGGGGCAGACCCCACCCAGGGAGGAAGGGCCAGUGGGAGCCUGCUGCCUCUGGCUGGCCUGGGGAUGGCAGGGCCCAGAGUGGCCCCUGAGCCCCAGGAGAACCCUGUGCCAGGCCCAGCUGCCAGGCUGCCAUUUGAGUCAUGUCCUGUUGGUGGCACCUUGGCGUGGUUCAGGUGUUCUGGUCUAGGAGCAUAUUUGCUUUAUAUGGGAAAACGUGCUAACUUCCUUUCUCUGAUAUGGUUCUGUUUCUCACUCAAGGAUAUCUUAGUGCCUAAUGCUGGACUUGACCAUAUCGUUCGCCAGGUAAAACCCUUCCAUGGCGCCUCACUGCCCUCAGGAGAUAGGCCGUGCCCGGGAGUGGCCCUUCCGUCCUCUGGAGCCCACACAGGCCGAGCCUUCCCACUGCGGCCUCCACCCCUCACCCUCUCUCAGCCAGAUCGCAAACUGGAACGUGCCCACCUCUCUCAUCUCCUGCAGCCUCACAUUGCCUGCAUCCUCUGCCUCCUGGGGCCUCACACUGGCUGCAUCCUCUGCCGGAACGCUCUCCCUCUCCUCCUCUCAUGGCUUGCUAAUAUCUCUUCCUCCGGGAAGCCCUCCCGGCCUAACUGAGCCACUUCAGUGCACACUAGGAACUCACCCUGUACUUCUCCUUUAUAACACUCAUCACAGUAAUGACCUAAAAAUGCCAGUUUAUGUGAUCGCACCUCACCCCACCCCCCACUAGAACGUGGGCUCUGUGAGGUCCUCCCUGUGGGAUUUUCACCCCUGGUGCCAUUGGCCGUAAUCCAGGGGAGUUUGGAAAUCCCUGCGCAGUGAAUCCGUGACUGAGCCCAACACGCAGCCUGUUGAUCCGGGUUGCUAACCCGGGACCAGCCGGCUGGAGCUGUCAGUGACUCACCUGACCGGAUAGCUCAGAGCCCGGGACCUCUGGCGGCCACCCAGGCCUGGCCUCCCUCCUGAAGUCCCCGCCUGGAAGGAGGGAAGGGGUUAAGUGUUCGUGGCGGCCUCGUGCUGUGUCUGCAGCAGUUCCCCCUUCCGGGGCUGCAGCCGAGGUUGGCGAGGAAUGUUUGCAACGCCGAGCCAGAAGGGAGGGCGGGCUGGUGUAGUGGGGGCCCGUGGAGGCCGGCAGGGCCCGGCUCCGCAGUUGAGCAAUCGCCCGGGCCCAGCCGGUUCCUGUAACUCCUGCCCCUCCCGCCCCUCCCGCCCUUCCCCGCCCUGCUGGCUUCCCCCGCCGCAGCCGGCCUGUAUCCUGGGGCCUGCAGGGGGAGGUGGAGGGGACCGAGGCCCAGCGAGCCUGGAGGCCAGGGGUGAAAGGGAGGGCCUUCCAAGGAGAGACCGAGUAGGAGUGCAGUCAGCUCAGUCACCUAGGCUCAGAGAGGGUGCGGCUUGGGCCCAAGGUCACACAGGGAGGCACCACCCCCGGAUUCAGCCUUUUUUGUUCCUUGCCACCAGGCCACAGCUUGACAGUGUGGAGGUUUCGUUGACACUCAGAUGGAAAGCUCUGAAUCACAGGGGACCCUCUCCCAACUGCAGGCAGCGCCGCCGAAUCCCCAGCCCUGGCCUGGCUCUUCCCUGGGGCCUUGGGGCCUCGGAGAGGACAGUGGCGCUCGUGGGUUGGGGCACCACUCCCAUCCCCUCCCCAGCACUGCCGGAAGCCCAGCCUGUCCCGGGGACACUGUCACCGCCAUUCCUUGCCUCCAGGAGCCCGGAGUGGAAGGAGAAGGCCAGGCUUGAGCUGGCUGGAAGCCCCUCUCCUUUCUUCUUCCGUUUCUCUUAAGGAAGGACCUUCAUGGGAACCAAAUAUUACACUGAGCCCAGGCGCAAGACCAAUUUCUUUCUCCGCAAGCAUAGACCUUCCCUGGCACUGCAGCACCAGCUCCUUCUGCCAACACGAUUGACAAGUGACCUCUGGGGAGGUGACCUCUACGGGCAUUCGGGCCCGACAGGAAUCCCGGCUCCACCACCUUCAAGCUUCGUGGCACCUCUUUCUAAGCCUCAGCUUCCUCAUCUGUGAACUGGAGCUCAGAGAGGGCGGGCGCAGUGGGGAAGCACCCGUCUGGUUCUGCGGAGGCUGCGGGCCGCUUGCCUUUCCUGGUCCCGCGGACGUUCCGUCUGUUUGGGGCUUGCUCAGGUCCCUCCCCGCUCUGUGCCCUGGGCCUUGUCUGGUCCGCCAGGGGAUGACAGGCUCGGCAGCCCUUAGAGGUGCUGCCUCGGCCUCGUCUGGCUGGAAUCAGCAGUGGAGCCCCUGGGACCCCACAUCCGGAGGGCAGGAUAGGUGAUCCAUGGGAGCUAGAAGUUCUGUGAAAAACCAAGCACCCCAACUACAGGCAAGGAGGCUCAUGGGAGGAGUGACUCGCCAAGCCAUAGAGAGGGAUUUUAACCCAGGAAACCACACCAGUAACACCAAGGACCCUCCUACGCUCGGUUCUGCCACCGUUUAGUGAGUCCUUAGUGGGUGCCGGGCAGUGACUCACCUACUUUAAUCCAACAACGUACCUAAGAGGGAAGCAUAUUGAUUCCCAUUUUCUCAGGAAACAGAAAUUGAUACACUUGCCCAAGGUCACACAGCUUGUACAGAGUGGGGCCUGACUCUGCACUCAGGCCACCUGCCUCCAGAGCCUGUGCUCUUGGCCGAUCCCGACUGCACCCGCUUCGGAUCCAGGCUCUGCAUAGAGAGGCUGCGCCACCUUAGGUGCAGGGAGCUCAGAGGGCGCAAGCCUCUUCCCCUAGGGCACACAGCUGGCUGAGCCACGACCCAUGGCCCGGGCCCCUGACUCCCUGUCCGUGGCUGCACCGAGACCACGGCCGCUGGGAAAGACCCCCUCAGCUGGCUGGGCUCCACGGACAGAUGGACAGAUGACGGCUGCCCCCUCCCAUAGCCUGCGGGCUCCCAGGCUUCGCCACCUCCUCCGGAGCAGGUUUCCUUUAAGAAACCAGAAGAUUGAUUUCCUGGCAGGCUCUGCGCCGAGGAGCCCGUCCAAAUGGACAUUAGGCCAUGUGGCAGCUGCUGGGCAGCCUGGAGGGUUGGGUGAAGACAGAAACAUUUCACAGAGGAGGCUCCAGCCUACAGGGAAGGCCGUUCUGGAGUGGAGAGCUCAGACCAGCUGGAGACCCGGAGUCCAUGUGUGUGAGUGUGCGUGUGCACACGCACACGUCAAUGUGUUUGUGCAGUGUAUCUAUGUGUAGGUCUCUGUGUGUGUGUCACUAUGUCAUUGUGUGUUGUAUAAUUAUCCAUGUGCCAGUGUGUGUGUUAGUGCAAGGGUGAGAUUGUGUGUGUGUGUGCGUGUGUCAAUGUGGUGGCAGCCGAGAACUCUGGUCCUUAGGCUGGCAAGCAGCUGGGGUACAAAUUCCCUGAGGGUUUCCAUCUCCCCGAGGUUCAGGCCUUUCUUCUUAGGCCUCUGUCAUCCGCACAGGAAGCUGCUCCCCUUUCCAGGGACACCUCGGCCGUUUGAGCUGCAGAAUGGGAGGCAGGACCUCAGCAGGCAGCUGUGAGGGCCCAGGUGAGGGCCUGGGGAGGCCGAGGCUCCCCGAAGCUCUGAGUAGAUGAGAGGGACAUUGUCCCUGGGGCAGGAAGCAGGCUUUCUCCAGAAGCUCUCCCUGUGUACCUAUGUGUGUGAGUGUGACACUCGCAACUGUCACGUGUCGAUUCACUUAAAAUGCUCCUUUCCUACCCCAGGCCAAGCUCCUUCGCCCAGGCUCCGGUCGUCACUGUGGGUGGGCCUCUUUCACCCAGGGCUCACACCCAUGUCCACAGCACAAAUUCAGCUCAAGUCCUAAGUCCCCCAUCAACUCGCCUGUGUCUUGGGACAGUCCACCCUGCUUCUAGGGCUCCUCACGGGGUCGCCGGAGCCGGCUCCGGCCAGGGGCAGAGCACUAACCGUGACUGUUACCCGUAGCCUCUUUGCAUCACCACGUCAAGGGAGGUCUUUCACUGAGAACCAUUUUGAACGGACAACUAUGCCCCCCUCUCAACACCUCCUCCCUUGGGGCCCUCGGGAGCACCCUGCCAAGCCAGCGCCGCCUCCCAGAGGUCCUCAGCCCAGAGAGGGAAGGGUGGUGAGCCUGGGAUAGGGAAGAGCCCUGGGUCUCCCCAAGAAGUAACGCUGUGUUUGUGCGAUCGCUUGUUCAGCACCCUUUUCCUGCUACAGGAGGGCAGUUCCUGGGUCUGCACCAGGGCCUCCCCCAGCCAAGCUGAGCACACAGUAGUUAUUUGAUAAGUAUUUGUGGAAAUAAAGUGAGCGGAUGGAGAAAUUAGCGAAUGCAAGGGCUUUGACUACACACAUUACCAGGCCUCCUGCCCCGUGGCCACCUUGGGGUCUGUACCCACACUCCCCAGCUGCUGGGGGCUGCUGUGUGCGGACCAGCUGUGUCAGGCCCUAACCCUGGGCAGAGGGCCACCACGGCUCCUGCAGAUCUUGCUGACAGGGCUGAAAAUGCGUCUGUGCCUCCCUUCGCAACCCACCAUUACUCAUGGUUGGCAUUUAUCCCCAAGCAAGGGGUGACCCAUGGAGCAGCCCAAAGCCUCUCCUGUGUUCUGAGGAAGGGUGGCCAGAGGCUGGGCUGUGGGAGGCAUGGCAGGAAUUGUGAGCAGCUGCUCUGAGUGCAGUGACCAUAUUUUCCUGAGCUGGAAAAUUAGAACACAGAAUGUAACUGAGGGUUUUCUCAGAUUUGUUCAUUUAAUGAGUGGAAAAUCUUACAAAGGUAUGAAAGCUAAAACUAAUUUAGUUAUGUUGUUGGUAAUGGAGUCUUUGUUGAAAAGAAUCUGAGUUCCCCAAAUCAGGGAGAUUUGGGAAAUGAAUAAUUCAAUUGGACUAAUAUUUUGGGGACAUUUGGGUCGAUCCUGUUCUUGGUGCUUGCACUAAAAUAGGGAGCAAAACAGGUGUGAUCCUGGCUUCACAGAGCUCACACGGGGAGGCUGACAUUCCUCAAACAACUUCAUAGUUUGGUCCUGUGAGCAUCUGUGAGAGCUAUGGGGAUGUAUGGGUCAUGAGGGCUGAGGGCUCCCAUGUGGACAGGGGUUGGGAUGUCCAGGGAGACUUCUUUGAAGAAGUAAUGUUUAAGGUGAGACAGAGCCUUUUAGGAGUUAAAUGUUGAAGAGACAGGAGUGGGGUGUGUUAAGGAAACAUAUUUCAGGCAGGAGGAAGAGUAUAUGCAAAGGGCCUGUGGCAGAAAGGAGUGCUGGGUAUUUGAGGGACAGGAGGGCAUCCCAGGUGCCUGGAAAGGGGUCAGUGAGGGGAGAAGAGGUUGGAGAUGUUGGAAGCGGCCAGCCCAGGCAGUGCCCACCAGUCCAUAGAGCACAGGGGGCUUUGUCUUACUGGCAAUGGGAAGCCAUGGACUGUUUGACGCAGGCCUAUUCAGAUGUCUAGAUGUUGAUGAUACUAAGGAUCAUGAUAAUGCUGAUAAUUAUAGCAAGUGUUUAAUGAGUGUGUACUAUGUGCCAAGCGCCAUUUCAGCAAUUUCACAGAUAAGAAAAGUAAGGGCUGGAAGGAGAAGUGACUUACCCAAAUGGCAAAUGGCAGAGAUGGAACUGAGUCUGUCAGGAUCCAAAGUCCUGUUCUUCUCCCACCACAAAGCUGAUCUUGUCUGGAUGUAGAAGGCCACAGGACAUGUGGGUGACCCACAGGACAUAUGGGCGAUCUCCACUCCUUUCUUGCUGUGGCGUUGCCUCCUCUCUGCCCUGUGUCCCAGGCCUGGGUGGGGACUCUAGGUCACAGGGUCAGCCGGGACAGGAAAGGUCCAGCUCUCUUCCUGCUCAGCACCUGGGGUGGUGGUGGUGGGGAAGCAGGGGUUGCAACAUCAGAGGCUGAGGUUCUGGAGAAGUUGGGACUCCGGCUGGGGUGGGGCCUCCCCCAGCCUUUCAUAGGAGCGCAGGUCACACUGCAGCACCAGGAGCACAGCACCCUUACCCGUUUGGAGCUGAGGACUUUGAGACGCUGCUCUAAUAGCCCCAGGAGUGGGGCAGCACCCAGUCCCUGCUUCCUCCUGUGGAAGCAGCCCUGGGUGAUCGCACCACUACGGACUCGCCAGUGGCAUUUAAGAAGGCCCUAGCCCCUCAGCGGUUAUUGGGGAAAUGCAAAUCAGAACCGUGAUGAGCCACCACCUCACACCUGGUAGGAUGGCUACUAUCAAGCUCCAGAAAAUAAUGCCGGCAAAGAUUUGGAGAAAUGGGAAUGUAAAACGGUGAAACCACUGUGGAAAACAGUAAGGAAGUUCCUCAAAAAAUUAAAAAUACCCCGGAAGAUGACUGGUUAGCCAGAGACGGGUAAGAUUCCUCAAGGGAGGAACAACCUAAGACAGGCACAGUCGCAGGGGGGUCAUCAGGUGAGAAAUUGGGGAUCAACAGAGGUGAGGCUUAGAACCUCACCCCCCCGUUCUGAGAGAAAUCUUCUGCAUACGUGGAUGUUUUAUUGCCCUUGUCUAGCUUGGAUUAACACAUAGUCUACAGGCACACACCUGAUCAUCUACAUUUGCUCUCUUACAACACUAAACUAUGUUUUCUACCUUUAUGUUGUAUCUACCUACCACUUCAGCAUUUU